rnacentral:tRNA from 1 species
GAUCUUUUAGUAUAAUUUGAGUAUUUUUGACUUCCAAUCAAAGGGUUUUAAAGAUUA